rnacentral:rRNA from 1 species
CAGUCGCCGCGGUAAUACGUAGGUGGCAAGCGUUGUCCGGAAUGAUUGGGCGUAAAGCGUCUGUAGGUGGCUUUUCAAGUCCGCCGUCAAAUCCCAGGGCUCAACCCUGGACAGGCGGUGGAAACUACCAAGCUGGAGUACGGUAGGGGCAGAGGGAAUUUCCGGUGGAGCGGUGAGAUGCGUUGAGAUCGGAAAGAGCACCAACGGCGAAAGCACUCUGCUGGGCCGACACUGACACUGAGAGACGAAAGCUAGGGGAGCAAAUGGGAUUAGAUACCCCAGUAGUCCCUGUCUCUUAUAC